UGYAGUCGAGCGAAUGGAUUAAGAGCUUGCUCUUAUGAAGUUAGCGGCGGMCGGGUGAGUAACACGUGGGUAACCUGCCCAUAAGACUGGGAUAACUCCGGGAAACCGGGGCUAAUACCGGAUAAYAUUUUGAACYGCAUGGUUCGAAAUUGAAAGGCGGCUUCGGCUGUCACUUAUGGAUGGACCCGCGUCGCAUUAGCUAGUUGGUGAGGUAACGGCUCACCAAGGCRACGAUGCGUAGCCGACCUGAGAGGGUGAUCGGCCACACUGGGACUGAGACACGGCCCAGACUCCUACGGGAGGCAGCAGUAGGGAAUCUUCCGCAAUGGACGAAAGUCUGACGGAGCAACGCCGCGUGAGUGAUGAAGGCUUUCGGGUCGUAAAACUCUGUUGUUAGGGAAGAACAAGUGCUAGUUGAAUAAGCUGGCACCUUGACGGUACCUAACCAGAAAGCCACGGCUAACUACGUGCCAGCAGCCGCGGUAAUACGUAGGUGGCAAGCGUUAUCCGGAAUUAUUGGGCGUAAAGCGCGCGCAGGUGGUUUCUUAAGUCUGAUGUGAAAGCCCACGGCUCAACCGUGGAGGGUCAUUGGAAACUGGGAGACUUGAGUGCAGAAGAGGAAAGUGGAAUUCCAUGUGUAGCGGUGAAAUGCGUAGAGAUAUGGAGGAACACCAGUGGCGAAGGCGACUUUCUGGUCUGUAACUGACACUGAGGCGCGAAAGCGUGGGGAGCAAACAGGAUUAGAUACCCU
rnacentral:rRNA from 1 species